rnacentral:rRNA from 1 species
UACGUAGGUGGCGAGCGUUGUCCGGAUUUACUGGGCGUAAAGGGCGUGCAGGCGGUUUGUUAAGUGCAGGGUGAAAGCUCCCGGCUCAACUGGGAGAGGUCCUUGCAUACUGGCGAACUCGAGGGAGGCAGAGGAAAGUGGAAUUCCCGGUGUAGUGGUGAUAUGCGUAGAUAUCUGGAGGAACACCGGUGGCGAAGGCGACAUCCUGGACCAACACUGACGCUGAGUGAGCGAAAGCCAGGGGAGCAAGCGGG